AUUGUGUAGAAAUCUCGUUUUUAAAAAGCUGUAGAAAGUGAGUCCAGCCUAGUCCAACCUUGAAACCUUUUGUACGUCGUAGAGUAAUUAAUUAUCUUUCGAUUGUAUAUAGUCAGAAUUGCCACUUUUAACCACUUUCUUUGGAAUUUGCGUUUUUAGCUCAUAACCUAAAAUUCGACAACUCAGAAUUGUUUGAAAUAUGGAAGUCUGUGAAGACCCAAGAACAAAAGUACAAAGCAAUUCUUGAUUUUUUUAAAUCUAAAACUAGUGGCGAAAUUUUUGAGAAAAAAAUGCAAGCUUUUGAGGAUGCCAGUAAGAAAAUAUGCUACCGUUUAACGGUAAAAUGGAAGAAUUGCAGAUCGAAUGCAAAGCUAUUUCAAAGGAGACAUUCCGAUUGGCUCUGUUCACAAACUUGUAUUCCGGUUGGAAGGAGAAAACAUUCAAUAGGACGCCCUGAACUAGACUACUUAGAAAAAUCUCGAAGGGCUCAAAGAAAACAGGUAGCAGAUCUUGUGGUGUCUGAAGGGGGAAACACAAGUUUAUUAAUUCAAUCGGCUAGCAUGGCCGCACGAAAACAGGGUAAACACGAUCUUGCAUUUGCAAGUGAAGACUUCGAAUAUGAAGAGGAAUUCGAUGACAGUCUUAAAUACGAACUAAAUUUUGAACUAGAGAAUGAAAAUCAAGAGCUUUUACAACAUUUGGAUCCCUGAAGCUGUUUCCUUUAUGUGGAACCCUUAAUUUCAUUGAUUUUUAUUAAAACUGUAUAUUAAUAUUAUGUUUUUGAUCCAAUACAACCAUAUUUUAAAACAUUUAAUAAAAUAAAAAAAAUAUAUAUAAAAA